rnacentral:rRNA from 1 species
AUUGAACGCUGGCGGAAUGCUUUACACAUGCAAGUCGAGCGGCAGCACGGGGGCAACCCUGGUGGCGAGCGGCGAACGGGUGAGUAAUACAUCGGAACAUGCCCAGUCGUGGGGGAUAACACUUCGAAAGAAGUGCUAAUACCGCAUACGUCCUGAGGGAGAAAGCGGGGGAUCGCAAGACCUCGCGCGAUUGGAGUGGCCGAUGUCAGAUUAGCUAGUUGGUGGGGUAAAGGCCUACCAAGGCAACGAUCUGUAGCUGGUCUGAGAGGAUGAUCAGCCACACUGGGACUGAGACACGGCCCAGACUCCUACGGGAGGCAGCAGUGGGGAAUUUUGGACAAUGGGGGCAACCCUGAUCCAGUCAUUCCGCGUGAGUGAAGAAGGCCUUCGGGUUGUAAAGCUCUUUCGGCAGGAACGAAACGGCGAGCUCUAACAUAGCUUGCUAAUGACGGUACCUGAAGAAGAAGCACCGGCUAACUACGUG